UACGGAGGGAGCUAGCGUUAUUCGGAAUUACUGGGCGUAAAGCGCACGUAGGCGGCUUUGUAAGUAAGAGGUGAAAGCCUGGAGCUCAACUCCAGAACUGCCUUUUAGACUGCAUCGCUUGAAUCCAGGAGAGGUGAGUGGAAUUCCGAGUGUAGAGGUGAAAUUCGUAGAUAUUCGGAAGAACACCAGUGGCGAAGGCGGCUCACUGGACUGGUAUUGACGCUGAGGUGGCGAAAGCGUGGGGAGCAAACAGG
rnacentral:rRNA from 1 species